UUACAACAGCCCUAGGAGGUAGGGAUUACCGCUGCUGUCAUGUCACAGUUGAGGAAACCUAGCCUAGAGAGGUUCAGUCACUUGCCCAGGGUCACACAGUAACUGGCAGAGCCCAGAUUCAAACCCGGCCAUCUGGCUCCAUAAUUUGAGCUAAUAACCCGCCCUAUUCAGCCUCCAGCUCUGGUGCUAUUUCCGUGUGGAUCUACGUACGGAACAAACUGGGGGAGGCAUGAAGCUUGGCAUCCGAGCCCCUGGAGGCGGUAAAUCUGAGGAGUGCUGUUGACCAGCACUGACUUCAUGGAAGCUUUAGGCCAAAGUAGACAAAACUUCCCUUUCUCUCUAAGGAUGUUCCUGGAGCUUCUCAGCCCAGGGAAGCUAAGCACUUUGUCAGCCUCGCUGUAUUGGAAGUGACCAGGCGACAGUUUUGAAAUCAAUUACCUAUGAUUAACCCAAAAGCUUCACCUUGCCAAGGUAAACUUCUUCAGCCUUUCAAAGGAAGAGAAGCAUUCAGAUCUUACAAUAGAUGCUGGAACUAUGUAUAAUGUGAAGCAAUCAUUGCCCUGCAACCUUUGUCCAAUAGUAUUUUAAGACUAAUUACUGUACUGUGAUCUUGAGGGGUGCUAGGCAAAUAUAUAUUUCAUCUGGCAUUUAAUUUCUUAGGGCCUGUGCAUGCUAUAUUUGAUAGUCAUGUGUACAAUUUUAUGUAAAUAGACAUGGGAAGGCCUGCAUUAAAAAAGAAAAAAAAAGCCCAAACAAUAAUAACAUAGAAAGAACCAGUACAGAGCUGCAACAUUCUGAAUCAACAAACAUUUACAACAUAUUUCCGGCAGGAGCUACAUACACAGAAACAUGUAAAGCUGGAAGCCCAAUUUAAAGAUGUUGGUUGUUUCUAGUAUAUAAACAUUUGGUGUGCGAAAUAUUUAACGUGAAUUUCUUUAAUCGAGGUAUUUGUGAUUGUAAAACAAAAAUCUUUUUUAAAAAAUGAUUUUAUUUAUUUAUUUGACAGAGAGAGAGAGAGAGAGAGAGAGCACAAACAGGAGUGGCAGGCAGAGGGAGAAGGAAAAGCAGGGAGCCUGACAUGGGACUCAAUCCCAGGACCCUGGGAUCAUGAUCUGAGCCAAAAACAGUUGCUUAACUGACAGAGCCCCUCAGGCACCCUGUACAACAAAAAUCAAGUAUUUGUAGGCUCCUAAAGUAUCCCUGCAUGACUGUAGUUGUCCAUUGACCAGAGUUCAACAAUGAUCCAAACUAUCCCUAGAGUCCCUUCGAAAAUUUGGAAUUUUAAGUUACAGAGAUGAAUGCAUGAGAUCCAACCCCUCCUACUUUGGUCAUUCAUCCAGGUACGCUGGCUCUCUAUUCUCUAUAAGGUGAGUCUACCUCAAAACUAAUAGAAUUCUCUUACUUUAAGACAUUCCAUAGAAGGUGGUUCCAUAGCAUAGGACUUAAAUAAAUUAGUCAUUGCCAACAAGUUGCCAACUUGUUGUUGCCAACAGGUCAUUGUCAU
rnacentral:lncRNA from 1 species